CUCUUGACAGAGCUCAAAGGGAGGACGCUUUAAGAUUCCGUGUUGCCAAGGCCAGUGAAGUCAGUGAAAUAGAGAAGGAAUUAUCAGUUGAGAUUUCUGCACUAGAGAAACAGAGAGAUGAACUUGAAGCUCAAUUGAAGCAGGU